UAAGAGAAUAAAAGCAGGCUGCCCCAACCCGCAGUGGCAACCCGCUCGAGUCCCCUUCCACACUGUGGAAGCUUUGUUCUUUCGCUGUUUGCAGUAAAUCUUGCUACUGCUCACUCUUUGGGACCACACUGCUUUUAUGAGCUGUAACACUCACCGCGAAGGUCUGCAGCUUCACUCCUGAAGCCAGCGAGAUCACGAGCCCAUUGGGAGGAACGAACAACUCCAGACGCGCUGCCUUAAGAGCUGUAACGCUCAUUGCGAAGGUCUGCAGCCUCACUCCUUAGCCAGCGAGACCACGAACCCACCAGAAGAAACUCCGAACACAUUGGAACAUCGGAAGGAACAAACUCCAGACGCGCCACCUUAAGAGCUGUAACACUCACCGCCAGGGUCCGUGGCUUCAUUCUCUAACAGCCUGCCAUAUUGCUGAAGGUUUGUGAGACACAGCCUAGAAGUUUGUUAUCAAUCCUCAUUGGUUGAGGCUCCUCCUGCUGUAGUUGAAGACUGUCUACUGCUAAAAGGAGAGAAUAUACUAGAAAGAAAUAAAAUUACUUGAUGUAUUUAAUUUUUUCUGUUACUUCCUGUCCAUUUGUUACUUCCUGUCCCUUUGUCACCGGAAGACAUUCUGUAUU
rnacentral:lncRNA from 10 species